rnacentral:rRNA from 1 species
AUUGAACGCUGGCGGCAGGCCUAACACAUGCAAGUCGAGCGGUAGAGAGGUGCUUGCAUCUCUUGAGAGCGGCGGACGGGUGAGUAAUGCCUAGGAAUCUGCCUAGUGGUGGGGGAUAACGUUCGGAAACGGACGCUAAUACCGCAUACGUCCUACGGGAGAAAGCGGGGGAUCUUCGGACCUCGCGCCAUUAGAUGAGCCUAGGUCGGAUUAGCUAGUUGGUGAGGUAAUGGCUCACCAAGGCGACGAUCCGUAACUGGUCUGAGAGGAUGAUCAGUCACACUGGAACUGAGACACGGUCCAGACUCCUACGGGAGGCAGCAGUGGGGAAUAUUGGACAAUGGGCGAAAGCCUGAUCCAGCCAUGCCGCGUGUGUGAAGAAGGUCUUCGGAUUGUAAAGCAC